rnacentral:misc_RNA from 1 species
CAAGAACACUCUAGGAGCCAUUUACGAGAGAGGUCUUGUUGGCAUGUAUCAUGAUUGGUGUGAGGGCUUCUCUACUUACCCGAGGACAUACGACUUCAUUCAUGGGAAUGGUGUAUUCGACCUGUACGAGAACAAUUGCAAUCUUGAGGACAUACUUCUAGAGAUGGACCGUAUUUUGAGGCCAGAAGGAAUCGUCAUCCUCCGAGAUGGGGUUGACAUCAUGAAUAAGGUGAAGAAGAUAGCUGCAG